rnacentral:rRNA from 1 species
CGGACGGGUGAGUAACACGUGGAUAACCUACCUAUAAGACUGGGAUAACUUCGGGAAACCGGAGCUAAUACCGGAUAAUAUAUUGAACCGCAUGGUUCAAUAGUGAAAGACGGUUUUGCUGUCACUUAUAGAUGGAUCCGCGCUGCAUUAGCUAGUUGGUAAGGUAACGGCUUACCAAGGCAACGAUGCGUAGCCGACCUGAGAGGGUGAUCGGCCACACUGGAACUGAGACACGGUCCAGACUCCUACGGGAGGCAGCAGAU